AUUCUAGAGCAAGAGCCACUAAAACAAGGAUUGAAAC
rnacentral:other from 1 species